rnacentral:rRNA from 1 species
UACGUAGGUGGCAAGCGUUGUCCGGAUUUACUGGGCGUAAAGAGCGCGCAGGCGGUCGUGCAAGUCGCGUGUGAAAGCCCCCGGCUCAACUGGGGAGGGUCACGCGAUACUGCUCGACUUGAAGGCAGGAGAGGGAAGUGGAAUUCCCGGUGUAGUGGUGAAAUGCGUAGAUAUUGGGAAGAACACCGGUGGCGAAGGCGGCGCUCUGGACCGAGACUGACGCUGAGGCGCGAAAGCGUGGGUAGCAAACAGG